rnacentral:rRNA from 1 species
UACGUAGGGUGCGAGCGUUGUCCGGAAUUAUUGGGCGUAAAGGGCUCGUAGGCGGUCUGUCGCGUCGAAAGUGAAAACCCAGGGCUUAACCCUGGGCCUGCUUCCGAUACGGGCAGACUAGAGGUAUGCAGGGGAGAACGGAAUUCCUGGUGUAGCGGUGAAAUGCGUAGAGAUCGGGAGGAACACCAGAGGCGAAGGCGGCGACCUGGACAGAUACUGACACUCAACUGCGAAAGCGUGGGGAGCAAACAGG